CCUUCGAUAGCUCAGUUGGUAGAGCGGUGGACUGUAGAAUAAGUAGAUUCGAAAAUUUAAGUUAUCCAUAGGUCACUGGUUCAAAUCCGGUUCGAAGGA
rnacentral:tRNA from 1 species